rnacentral:rRNA from 1 species
GAUGAACGCUGGCGGCGGGCCUAAUACAUGCAAGUCGAGCGAACAGACUAGGAGCUUGCUCCUCUGACGUUAGCGGCGGACGUGUGAGGAACGCGUGCAUCACCUAUCUAUAAGACUGGGAUAACUUCGGGAAACCGGUACUAAUUCCGAUUAUGAUUUUCAACCACAUUGUUCAAUAAUUCAAGACGGUAGUGAUGGCACUUAUCGAUAGUUGGGCGACGCAUUAGCUAGUUGGUAAGGUAACGGUGUACCAAGGCAACUAUGCGUGGCCGACCUGAGAGGGGAGUCGGCCACACCAGACUUGAGACACGGUCCAGACCACUCCGGGAGGCAGCAGUGGGGAAUCUUACGCAAUGGGAGGGAUCCUGACGGAGCAAAGCCGCGUGAGUGGUGAAAGUCUUCGGAUCGUAAAACUAUGCUAUUAGGGAAGAACAAAUGUGUAAGUAACUAUGCACGUGUUGACGGUACCUAAUGAGAAAGCAACGGCUAACUACGUG